rnacentral:rRNA from 1 species
UACAGAGGGGGCAAGCGUUGUUCGGAAUUACUGGGCGUAAAGGGCGCGUAGGCGGCCGCCUAAGUCAGACGUGAAAUCCCUCGGCUCAACCGGGGAACUGCGUCUGAUACUGGGUGGCUUGAAUCCGGGAGAGGGAUGCGGAAUUCCGGGUGUAGCGGUGAAAUGCGUAGAUAUCUGGAGGAACACCGGUGGCGAAGGCGGCAUCCUGGACCGGCAUUGACGCUGAGGCGCGAAAGCCAGGGGAGCAAACGGG